GAUCAUGGCUCAGGAUGAACGCUGACAGAAUGCUUAACACAUGCAAGUCAACUUGAAUUUGGGUUUUUUAACUUAGAUUUGGGUGGCGGACGGGUGAGUAACGCGUAAAGAACUUGCCUCACAGCUAGGGACAACAUUUGGAAACGAAUGCUAAUACCUGAUAUUAUGAUUUUAAGGCAUCUUAGAAUUAUGAAAGCUAUACGCGCUGUGAGAGAGCUUUGCGUCCCAUUAGCUAGUUGG
rnacentral:rRNA from 1 species